UACGUAGGGGGCAAGCGUUGUCCGGAAUCAUUGGGCGUAAAGAGCGCGUAGGCGGCCCGGUAAGUCCGCUGUGAAAGUCAAGGGCUCAACCCUUGAAUGCCGGUGGAUACUGUCGGGCUAGAGUCCGGAAGAGGCGAGUGGAAUUCCUGGUGUAGCGGUGAAAUGCGCAGAUAUCAGGAGGAACACCAAUGGCGAAGGCAGCUCGCUGGGACGGUACUGACGCUGAGGCGCGAAAGCCAGGGGAGCAAACGGG
rnacentral:rRNA from 1 species